rnacentral:sRNA from 3 species
UGCAUCUGCAGCCCAUGAGGAUGAGAACCUCCGGGGGCAGGGAGGUUCGACUCGAGCGAAGCGAGAGAACGUUGCGCCAGCAACGGCCCGCAGGGCGAGCCACGAAGUGGCGAGUAAUCCUCUAUCACCGACCA